UGGGGGAUAUUGCACAAUGGGCGAAAGCCUGAUGCAGCGACGCCGCGUGGGGGAUGAAGGCCUUCGGGUUGUAAACUUCUUUUGCUCUGAACAAGGCAUGCCUUUGGGGUGUGUUGAGUGUAGGGGUUGAUUAGCGCCGGCUAACUACGUGCCAGCAGCCGCGGUAAUACGUAGGGCGCGAGCGUUGUCCGGAAUUAUUGGGUGUAAUGGGCUUGUAGGUGGCUGGUUGCGUCUGUCGUGAAAGCUCAUGGCUUAACUGUGGGUUUGCGGUGGGUACGGGCUGGCUUGAGUGGAGUAGGGGAGGUUGGGAUUACGGGUGUAGGGGUGGAAUGCGCAGAUAUCAGGAGGAAUACCGGUGGCGGAGGCGGGUCUCUGGGCUGUUACUGACGCUGAGGAGCGAAAGGGUGGGGAGCGAACAGG
rnacentral:rRNA from 1 species